UCAUCUUUUUUUUUCUAUGCCAGCGAUUGUCAGCCAGCCCAGGAGGGGUUCGAGUUGAACAUUUUUGUGGACGGCCUACCCCUGUACAAGAGCAGUCGGACCCAAUUUUAGCCGAUUCUCAUGCAGGCUCAUAACGUGCCACAUACUCCUGUAGUGACGGUUGCAAUAUUCUGUGGCGAAUCGAAACCGUUUUUCGUCAAGGAGUUUUUGCAGCCAUUUGUGGACGAGGUGAACAGACCGUAUGUGACAGGUCUGACAAUUAAAUCCCGCACUUACUGGGUGGAAGCGCGUGCAAUAAUUGCAAAUGCUCCGGCACGUGCAUUUAUUAAAGGUGUUAAAUCGCAUAAUGCGUACAGCGCCUGCAUGAAGUGCACAAACGUUGGUGAAUUGGAUGGACACCGGAUGAACUUCAAGUAUGAUGAACAAUGCCCGCCUCGGAACCACAAGGAUUUUUGUGACGACAAAUAUCCAAUACAUGUCAACAACCCUACGCCUUGUACGAGUCUGUUAGGUUGCGAUAUCGUCGACGAUUUUGUGUCAGCCGAUGACAUACACCAAGGGCGUAGAUGCAAAGUUGCUACAUUUGUGGAUAAAUAAAUGGCUUCCCUAACGUACCUUGUUACUUGCCACGUCACCAGCAACGUGAAGUGUCGGCGUACUUGCGUCUGUUAAGGCUGCCUUCAGAUUACCAACGUAAACUGCGCGACCUGCGAUACAUCCAUCUCUGGAAAGCUUUCGAGUAUAGGAUGUUUCUGCUGGUUGCCGGUUUCGUUGUUCUGAAGGAUAGACUUAACCAAGGUUAUUUGACUCUAUACAGGUUACGACAGAGCGAUUGAGAGGGUCACCAUUUUGUAAACCUUGUUUACAAUUUGUCUGUCAAAAUGGACGCCGGUCAGCUGAUGCUUGGAUUAAACAACAUAAAUAAGAUUGCAGAAGCUGAAACUAACGCUUCAAGUUUUCUUCAUCCUAUCACGUUCCAUCGUUAAUAGAAUACGACUUCCUUGUUGACCUGUUCAAUGCUGAGUUUGAAAUUGCAGUCACAGCUUCUGGGGACGAGGAUUUAUGCCAUCUAGCAGCAGCAUUGAUAAAAAGGGUGAGAAAUUAUGCAGUCCUGAACGCGACCCUACUGCGAUGUGUGGGAAGCGGCGAGGCUCCAUGCCGAUUCGCCACAAUCGUCGGGUUCAGGGUGAUCGUCUAUGCUGCUCCUGUUACAGUUCCGUAUCAUAGCAAACGAAUGUUCGUGCUCCUGUCUUGUUCCAGUGGUAGAGAAUUCAUGCCAACUCGGGUGCAGCUUAAUUUAAGUGCUAGAGCGAAAAGACGAGAGAUAAAUGUCGUCCCGGCAGUGUUAAACAAUGGCGGGGGUCCAUUUCAUUUGUGCUCGAGUCAAGUACAAUACAGAGGGAAUAUGAUGUUUGAAGCAUUUGUGGUGGGUACAUAGGUGACAUAUAUAGGUAGGGGGAUCAUAGCUUACAAAUUCCCACAUUUGUGUGAGGCGAGUGCAUUGCACGGCAGAAAAGAGAGUGUGUAAAAAGGUUGAUCAAGUAGGUGCUCUCGGUAGGGGUGCACGGUGCUGCUGGUGUACGGCCCGUACAGUAUGAGUAUCAAAAUGUUUUGUACAUAGUGUUUAUUUAUAUAAUAUUUUGUGAUUGCGUAAAUUGUUGUGACGAAAGUUAUGAAAAUAUCAUUUUGUCAAUGUUAUAAAGGAAAAUCGUAUUUGAUAAAUGCUACCAAAAAACACAAAUAUAUUUGAAGUUUUUUUUUCUAA